UACAGAGGGUGCAAGCGUUAAUCGGAAUUACUGGGCGUAAAGCGUGCGUAGACGGUUACAUAAGUCGGGUGUGAAAGCCCCGGGCUUAACCUGGGAACUGCAUUUGUGACUGCAUAGCUAGAGUCUGUCAGAGGGGGGUGGAAUUCCACGUGUAGCAGUGAAAUGCGUAGAGAUGUGGAGGAACACCGAUGGCGAAGGCAGCCCCCUGGGAUAAGACUGACGCUCAUGUACGAAAGCGUGGGGAGCAAACAGG
rnacentral:rRNA from 1 species